AAGUUUUAUUCUUGCUUUUUCGUUCACUUUUUGUUUGUUCUAUAUGUAAGUUUGUGCGUGUGGGUUUAUGUUAAUUUCUAAAUGGAUUUGGCGGUUAAAUUUUAUUCUCAUUAGUUAUUAUUGAUUAAUCAAGUAUUCUUGUAUUUAGCAAUACGUAUUUAGCUUCGGUUAAAUUUUGUGCCAGCAGCCGCGGUUAUACUUUGGGGGCAUGUGAAUGUGUUCAGCAAAUGGUAGUUUUAUGUUUAUUUUUGAUUUGAUUGUAAUAAUUUUUAGGUGAAAUUUUUAUUGUUUUGUUUAUCUUUUUUGUAAUUGUAGACUAUGAAAUUUUGGUUGUAAACUAGGAUUAGAUACCCUAUUAUUUUGGAAUGUUAAUUUUUGGUGCUUGAGUAGUAUUAGUUAUGUUCUUGAAACUUAAAGAAUUUGGCGGUAUUUCAUUCUGUCCAGAGGAAUCUGUCUCGUUAUCGAUAGUCCACGUUGGACCUUACUUAUGUUUUGAUUGGUUUGUAUACCGCCGUUUAUUGAUUAUCUUUUUAGAGUCGUUUAAUUUUCUUGUUUCUUUAUUUUGAUUUAUUUCAGGUCAAGGUGCAGCUUUAUUUCUAAGUGGUAAGAUGGAUUACAUUGUUAUUUGUUUAUGGAUUAUUGGUUUUAAUAUUGAUAUGAAAUUGGAUUUGGUUGUAAUAAUUUGUAGACUGUUAUUAUGAUAAUUGGUUCUGGAAUAUGUACACAUCGCCCGUCGCUCUCGUUUAUGUUUGUUAAUGAGAUAAGUCGUAACAAAGUGGUUGUACCGGAAGGUGCAGCUGGAUUGAU
rnacentral:ncRNA from 1 species